AAUGGGCAUGUGAUGAAUCUCAUCGUUAAAUGGGUAAUUUGCGUCUGAAAUUUUCAUUGAUGCUAUCACCUUGGAGAACUGAUGCUCUAU
rfam:Vigna angularis cultivar Jingnong 6 chromosome 1, whole genome shotgun sequence.